ACCCAGCUAGCUCAGUCGGUAGAGCACGUGACACUUGAUCUCGGGGUUGUGAGUUCGAGCCCCGUGCUGGGUG
rnacentral:tRNA from 1 species